rnacentral:rRNA from 1 species
UACGGAGGGAGCUAGCGUUGUUCGGAAUUACUGGGCGUAAAGCGCGCGUAGGCGGCUUUGUAAGUUAGAGGUGAAAGCCCGGAGCUCAACUCCGGAACUGCCUUUAAAACUGCAUCGCUUGAAUCCAGGAGAGGUGAGUGGAAUUCCCGGUGUAGUGGUGAAAUGCGUAGAUAUCAGGAGGAACACCGGUGGCGAAGGCGGCUUUCUGGACAGAAACUGACGCUGAGGCGCGAAAGCUAGGGGAGCAAACAGG